ACCGUGGAGAGGUAACGGCUCACCAAGGCAACGAUGCGUAGCCGACCUGAGAGGGUGAUCGGCCACACUGGGACUGAGAACACGGCCCACACUCCUACGGGAGGCAGCAGUAGGGAAUCUUCCUGCAAUGGACGAAUGUCUGACGGAGCAACCCCGCGUGUAGUGAUGAAGGUUUUCAGAUCGCAAAUCCUCUGUUGUUAGGGAAAAACAAAUCCCUUUCAAAUAGGGGGGUACUUUCACGGUACCUAAAC
rnacentral:rRNA from 1 species